rnacentral:rRNA from 1 species
AACGCAGCGAAAUGCGAUAAGUAAUGUGAAUUGCAGAAUUCAGUGAAUCAUCGAAUCUUUGAACGCACAUUGCGCCCCUUGGCAUUCCGAGGGGCAUGCCUGUUCGAGCGUCAUUACAACCCUCAAGCUCUGCUUGGUAUUGGGCGCCGUCCUCUCUGCGGACGCGCCUUAAAGACCUCGG